ACACCUCAACUCUCAUGGCUUGCCAUGAUGAGCUUGGACUCUGGGGGCCUGCUGGCCAAUGGUCUGCUCCCCUCAAAUAUAUCAGCUUGCCAGUGUUUGGUGGCAUCGCAGGUGUGAUAACUAUCUACGCUUGCUGUUGCCUACCAUAUAACCCCCGGUCACGGAGGUUCGCUGGAGCUCAUAAACGUCUCUCUUCAGCGAGGACAACUUUGUGAAC
rnacentral:misc_RNA from 1 species